GUGACUUUUUGUCCCAAUAUGAAAAUAAAGGGCUCAUCAUAUAAACAAUCAUACAUCCCACUCUCAUGAAAAAGUGUAGUGGGCUUAUAGUACUUUUGACCAAGUAUAAAAAUAAGGGGCUCAUUAUGCAAACAAACAUACAUGCAGAGAAAUCAUGUUAGUUCUAGAAUUUGUAGCCCCCCUUAAAUAACUUCUAGUUUUUUUCUUAUUCAUCAUCUUUACAUGUACUUUUGACAUUCCCUCAAUUAAGACUUUAUGCUUAAAAUCAGCGUUGCACAUCAUAAAAUAGCACAUAAAUUAGCAAGCCGGAGUAAUGCCAAACAUCCAUCAUACCUUUUAACCCCCUUUUUUUUUUUAAAACCAUUUUAGUCUGCCAAAUUUACAUCUACGUUAAUUAAAUACCACAGUCCACCAAAGAAGGGAAAUCUGUUUUACAACCUACCAAAGGCAACCUCUACCAAAGAGGGAUCUAGGGACGUCUCCCAUAUGUAAAUGUACAUCACAGGUACAUCACAGCCUACCAAAGGUUUGAAAUUAUUUUUAACACCUGGCCAAAGGUGAACCUCUUACCAAAGAGGAAAUGUGCACAAUAACUACUACUACCUACCAAAGGCAAUCCUCCAACCCGUGGAGUAAUAGAAGUCUACCUAAGACUUAAC